rnacentral:rRNA from 1 species
GAUGAACGCUGGCGGCGUGCCUAAUACAUGCAAGUCGAACGCACAGCGAAAGGUGCUUGCACCUUUCAAGUGAGUGGCGAACGGGUGAGUAACACGUGGAUAACCUACCUCAAGGUUGGGGAUAACAUUUGGAAACAGAUGCUAAUACCGAAUAAAACUUAGUAUCGCAUGAUACCAGGUUAAAAGGCGCUACGGCGUCACCUAGAGAUGGAUCCGCGGUGCAUUAGUUAGUUGGUGGGGUAAAGGCUUACCAAGACAAUGAUGCAUAGCCGAGUUGAGAGACUGAUCGGCCACAUUGGGACUGAGACACGGCCCAAACUCCUACGGGAGGCUGCAGUAGGGAAUCUUCCACAAUGGGCGAAAGCCUGAUGGAGCAACGCCGCGUGUGUGAUGAAGGCUUUCGGGUCGUAAAGCACUGUUGUAUGGGAAGAACAGCUAGAGUAGGGAAUGACUUUAGUUUGACGGUACCAUACCAGAAAGGGACGGCUAAAUACGUGCCAGCAGCCGCGGUAAUACGUAUGUCCCGAGCGUUAUCCGGAUUUAUUGGGCGUAAAGCGAGCGCAGACGGUUAAUUAAGUCUGAUGUGAAAGCCCGGAGCUCAACUCCGGAAAGGCAUUGGAAACUGGUUAACUUGAGUGCAGUAGAGGUAAGUGGAACUCCAUGUGUAGCGGUGGAAUGCGUAGAUAUAUGGAAGAACACCAGCGGCGAAGGCGGCUUACUGGACUGUAACUGACGUUGAGGCUCGAAAGUGUGGGUAGCAAACAGGAUUAGAUACCCUGGUAGUCCACACCGUAAACGAUGAACACUAGG